rnacentral:rRNA from 1 species
AACGAACGCUGGCGGCAGGCUUAACACAUGCAAGUCGAACGAGAUCUUCGGAUCUAGUGGCAGACGGGUGAGGAACACGUGGGAACAUCCCUUUCAGUUCGGAAUAACGUUGGGAAACUAACGCUAAUACCGGAUACGUCCUUCGGGAGAAAGAUUUAUCGCUGAAAGAUUGGCCCGCGUCUGAUUAGCUAGUUGGUGAGGUAAUGGCUCACCAAGGCUACGAUCAGUAGCUGAUCUGAAAGGAUGAUCAGCCACAUUGGGACUGAGACACGGCCCAAACUCCUACGGGAGGCAGCAGUGGGGAAUAUUGGACAAUGGGCGCAAGCCUGAUCCAGCCAUGCCGCGUGAGUGAUGACGGCCUUCGGGUUGUAAAGCUCUUUUGUCCGGGAAGAUAAUGACUGUACCGGAAGAAUAAGCCCCGGCAAACUUCGUGCCAGCCGCCGCCGCGG